CAUCAUCAAAGCUUGCUUUGAUGGAUGGCGACCGGCGCACGGGUGAGUAACACGUAUCCAACCUGCCGACAACACUGGGAUAGCCUUUCGAAAGAAAGAUUAAUACCGGAUGGCAUAGUUUUUCCGCAUGGGAUAAUUAUUAAAGAAUUUCGGUUGUCGAUGGGGAUGCGUUCCAUUAGGCAGUUGGCGGGGUAACGGCCCACCAAACCAACGAUGGAUAGGGGUUCUGAGAGGAAGGUCCCCCACAUUGGAACUGAGACACGGUCCAAACUCCUACGGGAGGCAGCAGUGAGGAAUAUUGGUCAAUGGACGAGAGUCUGAACCAGCCAAGUAGCGUGAAGGAUGACUGCCCUAUGGGUUGUAAACUUCUUUUAUACGGGAAUAAAGUUAGCCACGUGUGGCUUUUUGUAUGUACCGUAUGAAUAAGGAUCGGCUAACUCCGUGCCAGCAGCCGCGGUAAUACGGAGGAUCCGAGCGUUAUCCGGAUUUAUUGGGUUUAAAGGGAGCGUAGGCGGGUUGUUAAGUCAGUUGUGAAAGUUUGCGGCUCAACCGUAAAAUUGCAGUUGAUACUGGCGACCUUGAGUGCAACAGAGGUAGGCGGAAUUCGUGGUGUAGCGGUGAAAUGCUUAGAUAUCACGAAGAACUCCGAUUGCGAAGGCAGCUUACUGGA
rnacentral:rRNA from 1 species